UGGGCCUACGGGAGGCAGCAGUAGGGAAUCUUCCACAAUGGACGAAAGUCUGAUGGAGCAACGCCGCGUGAGUGAAGAAGGGUUUCGGCUCGUAAAGCUCUGUUGGUAGGGAAGAAAGAUAGAGGUAGUAACUGGCCUUUAUUUGACGGUAAUUACUUAGAAAGUCACGGCUAACUACGUGCCAGCAGCCGCGGUAAUACGUAGGUGGCAAGCGUUAUCCGGAAAGAUUGGGCGUAAAGGGUGCGUAGGCGGCCUGCUAAGUAUGGAGUGAAAGGGACCGGGCCAACCGG
rnacentral:rRNA from 1 species